AUUGAACGCUGGCGGCAUGCCUUACACAUGCAAGUCGAACGGUAACGCGGGGCAACCUGGCGACGAGUGGCGAACGGGUGAGUAAAACAUCGGAACGUGCCCAGUAGUGGGGGAUAGCCCGGCGAAAGCCGGAUUAAUACCGCAUACGACCUAUGGGUGAAAGGGGGGGAUCGCAAGACCUCUCGCUAUUGGAUCGGCCGAUGUCAGAUUAGGUAGGUGGUGGGGUAAAGGCCUACCAAGCCGACGAUCUGUAGCUGGGCUGAGAGGACGACCAGCCACACUGGAACUGAGACACGGUCCAGACUCCUACGGGAGGCAGCAGUGGGGAAUUUUGGACAAUGGACGCAAGUCUGAUCCAGCCAUUCCGCGUGAUGGAUGAAGGCCCUCGGGUUGUAAACUGCUUUUGUACGGAACGAAAAGCUCUCUCCUAAUACGAGGGGCUCAUGACGGUACCGUAAGAAUAAGCACCGGCUAACUACGUGCCAGCAGCCGCCGUAA
rnacentral:rRNA from 1 species